AUUGAACGCUGGCGGCAGGCCUAACACAUGCAAGUCGAACGAGUGGCGGACGGGUUAGUAAUGUCUGGGAAACUGCCCGAUGGAGGGGGAUAAAUACUGGAAACGGUAGCUAAUACCGCAUACCAUCGGAUGUGCCCAGAUGGGAUUAGCUAGUAGGUGGGGUAACGGCUCACCUAGGCGACGAUCCCUAGCUGGGCUGAGAGGAUGACCAGCACAAGUGGGCCUGAGACACGGUCCAAGCUCCUUCGGGAGGCAGCAGUGGGGAAUAUUGCACAAUGGGCGCAAGCCUGAUGCAACCAUGCCGCGUGUAUGAAGAAUCCCUUCGGGUUGUAAAGUACUUUCCGCGAGGAGGCGUUGCUCGCAGAAGAAGCACCGGCUAACUCCGUGCCAGCAGCCGCGGUAAUAC
rnacentral:rRNA from 1 species